rnacentral:rRNA from 1 species
GACGAACGCUGGCGGCGUGCUUAACACAUGCAAGUCGAACGGAAAGGCCCUGCUUUCGUGGGGUGCUCGAGUGGCGAACGGGUGAGUAACACGUGAGUAACCUGCCCUUGACUUUGGGAUAACUUCAGGAAACUGGGGCUAAUACCGGAUAGGAGCUCCUGCUGCAUGGUGGGGGUUGGAAAGUUUCGGCGGUUGUGGAUGGACUCGCGGCUUACCAGCUAGUUGGUGGGGUAGUGGCUUACCAAGGCUUUGACGGGUAGCCGGCCUGAGAGGGUGACCGGCCACAUUGGGACUGAGAUACGGCCCAGACUCCUACGGGAGGCAGCAGUGGGGAAUAUUGCACAAUGGGCGGGAGCCUGAUGCAGCAACGCCGCGUGCGGGAUGACGGUCUUCGGGUUGUAAACCGCUUUCGCCUGUGACGAAGCGUGAGUGACGGUAAUGGGUAAAGAAGCACCGGCUAACUACGUG